ACUCUAAUACUCUAGUAAGUUAGAGUGUGUUGGUCUUGUAAGCCAAAGAUUGAAGACUCAGCCUCUUCUUAGAGUU
rnacentral:tRNA from 1 species